UCUGCCUCUAGAGGUGCUGCAGCUGUGGCUGCUGUGUGUCAGUAGGUGACAGAGAAGAGAGAGGAUAUGUCUGUACUCAUUGUUCCGCCCUAUGAACACUCUGAAUGAACAGCAGUCUAACAUG
rnacentral:snoRNA from 1 species